GCCACUGCUAUUGGGGUUCGGCUAAGCCAUGCGAGUGGAGGGCGUCCCGCAAGGGAUGGCCCCGCAGACGGCUCAGUAACACGUCGUCAACCCACCUUAGGGUGGGGGACAACCUCGGGAAACUGAGGAUAAUCCCCCAUAGGCGGGGGAGGCUGGAAUGCGCCCCCGCUGAAAGCUCCGGCGCCCUAGGACGGGACGGCGGCCUAUCAGGUAGUUGGUGGUGUGACG
rnacentral:rRNA from 1 species